GUCAGGAAGAACUGCUUUUUACCUCCCAAAGGGUCCCUGAGCCUGGGGGCUGACCUGGCUAUGGAGUUCAAGGUCCCAAGAGUUGCAGGAGUCCACAUUUGAUGGUUAAGGACACAGGAUUUGAAGUGAGACAGGACGUGCUCAGGUUCCGGUCCUGUCUCUUGCUUGCUUGACAACCUUGGGCAAGUGAUGACUUUUACCUGGCCUCCAGCUUCCUUCCUCUCCCAUGGAAUAGCUGGCUCUUGGUGCUCCCUCAGAGUGAGUGUGCACAUGCAGACUCCUGGCAAGGACUCAGCAUUGAUGACACCUCUGGUUUGGCAGUUGUUAGUGUUCUCCAGCAUGGAGGGACAGGAGUACUGGCUGCUGUGGAUCCCCAAUUACUUCACUCUUCCCAGUGUGGAGUCUCAACGGUCUAUCCAUCUGAACGCCAUCCCCUGCCUCUGUGGAAACACUUGGAACCUCUGUGUCCCCUACUUGGACGGUGACAUCCCAACUCCCUCUCCAGAGCUCCUUUGUCACACUCACUAAGAGAUGUCUGCUCUCCUCUCAUUCUUCCUGAGAAAGGCACUGAACCAGUUGGACUCAUGGAACAAAGGCAUGAAGUGCCUUAGACAUGUGUACGUCCUUCAUCCCCUGGCUCCACUUCACAGUUCCCUCUAGAAUAUCUUUGAAGAUUGCUCAAUGCUCUUUCCUGAUCCAGCUGCCAUGUGAAGAGGCUGCUACACACUCCUGCUGCCACAGGGCCACCUCUCCACACCUUCGCUGAUAUUUUGGAAAGUGUCUCUGAAACAGUGAGCCAAAAUAAAUCAGCCCUCCCUGAAACUGCUUCCAUCAGGCUUUUGAAUGAAGAGAGUUACUAAACACAGUGAUGGUGCCUCUGAGUCUAUUCAGCUCCAGGCAGAUCCAUCAGUCAAUCUGAGCUUGCACUAGUGGACCACCUCUCGGCCUCUGCAAGGAUGAAAUUAUGAAAAACCCAGAAGAUAUAACUCUUCUUGUUCAUGGGCACAAUCAGAAGAUGGAGUUACUAAGCUACAUAGGGGAGAAGCUAAGCUGAAGCUUGACCUUCCACCUGUCAUGUCCUUUCCCUGUGGACAUCUUACCUACCAGAGCACGUGGAUCUCUGGCUGGGAUGCUCAGGGACUUGCAGGGUCAGAUGCUAUAGCCUCAUCCCUUUCUGAAUACCACCUAGUCACCCCUCUGAAUGCUCCUCUCUGAGGCAACAUUGCAAGGACUUUGGAAUUAGAUGAGCCUGGGUUUAAAUCUCAACUCCAUGCGACUUUACCCUCUUUAAGUCUUAAUUUCAGGGAGAAAGACAGGGUGAGCAUUAAGCCUACUACAUAGCUUUCAGUCAAUGUGAUUGGUACCAUUACAGCUUAUCCCUAAGCCACAGUCUAAAGUGCCCUUUAAGCAUCGACAUGAUAGUACAGUGAUAAGAUCCCACACCAGGAAGCUGACUGCACAAAACUAAUAAAAAUGUGUUCUGCAAAUAGCUGGGUGUGGUGACCCAUGCAUAUCACUCCAGCUACUUUGGAGGCUGAGGCAGGACUAUCACUUGAGCCCUUGAGUUACAGACCAACCUGGGCAACACAGCAAAAUCCUCUAAUAAAAAGGCCAGGGGUGAUGGUAGACAACUUUAAUCCUAGCACUCAGGAAGCAAAGGCAGGCUGAUUUCUAUGACUUCAAGUCCAGCCUGGUCCACAUAGGCAUAUAGUUCUAGGCCAGCCAGGCCUACAAAGAGAGACCCUGUUUCAAAAAAAAAACCCCAGCACUAUUACUAAUAAUAAGUAUUCCAUAAAAUUACCUUCUGAUUAUUACCUUGAGGGUGAGAGAGGAAGCCUUAAAUGUGGCUGGGACAUAGUAGGUACUCAGUAAGUAUUAUUGCCUUUCCACUGCCACCUCCCAUUCUAAGCAGGCAGAGAUGCGAGGGAGGGGAUGAGGAGAGCUGCAGUGUAGGAGGUUGUAGGAAGGAAAAAAUUGAGAGCCAGUUCACAGGGUGGAUCCACAAGAUAAGAAGCAGGCUAGCUCAGCACUGCCACCCAAGUUGGUGGCUCUCACACCUCAGCUGUGACAUUUUCUAAGAGUGUUUCUUUGCCACAGAGUUCAUUAGUUGCAGACAGCCUUUGACUGGCAUGAACACCAGGAUGAAUCAUCUAUUGCCUGAUAAAUAACACAGAGCGCCUAUGCUUGCACAUCUAACUCUAGAGGCUUCUGUUCCCAUUUUUCUUUGCAGGGGAGGCAUCAGAGAGGGUGACAGCAGGAGCCCUUUUCUCUAGCUUUUUUUAAAAAAAAGGAAGAAAAAAAUACACAUUUAGUAAACAGGAAAAUUAUUUAAAUAAGCAAUCCUGAGGAAAAAAUAUGGAAGCCAAUUUUAUUCAUAAAACAACUGAUUUACAGCAUUCUAGCUAAGAGCAGCUUUUAACUCAAGCCUCUGAGAUCUUAUUUAUUAUUCAGCAAAAUAUUCAAGAUUAAUAAAGGUAUCUUAAAUGCUAAUACAGCAGCAAGAGCUAAUAUAUGUAAAAUAAUUAUUAUGAAAAGUGUUAUCAAUAUUUGGGGGAAGUAAUGUACAUGCAUAAUGAAUGAAUUUUGCCCCUGGGUUUUAGCUUCUAUCUUGGCCUGAUUUUGCAUGGAGAAAUUCUGCAUUAUAAUGAAAGGAGAAAUGAUCACACAUUAGAACUGUGAGCUUUAUAUCACUGCUCAGAAGGAUCUUAAAACUGUCACCUAAACGGGACUAUAUAUAUGUAUAUUCCAUACAAACAUGCACAUGGCAUACGGUAAGACUGAUCAUCCUUUGAGUGCCGUGAAAUUCACCCCCACACACACUGAUUUUAAAGUGACAGUCAUUGACCUUGAAGAAGUAAAUUUUAAAAAGAGACAAAUAUCACAAAGACUCUACCAACUUUGGGCAAAAGAAGCCUUGCUUAGACUUACUUUUUAGGUCAAACCUCCUGAAGGUGAAAUCAAGCAGUAUUUCUCAAAUAGGAUACAUAAGGCAAAUCCCAAAAGGAGCGGUUCUUAUUAACAUGAGUCCCUGAGACUUUCCAGGGACUGGGAGAUGGUUCAAUGGGUGAAGUGAUUGCUGUGAAGUAUGGCACGUAAGGACCUUAGUUUGAACCCUCAGGACCCAUAUAUAAAGCUGGGUGCAGUGACCUGAGUCUGUGACUCUGACACAGGGAGCCAGAGACAGACAGUUCCAGGGAGCUCCCAGGACAGACAAUCUAGUUACAGCUGGGAAUUCCAGAUUCAGUGAGAGACCUUGUCUCAAAAAACAAAGUAGUAGAGCAUUUGAGGAAGACAUCUGUCCUCCACCUUCCCACACACAAUUGCACAUAUACAUGUGCACGUGAGCACCAGACAGCUAGAGAGAUGAUA